UCUGUCCCACAAAAGACUUCUUAUAAGGAUAUGAGAAGGUGUCAUGGAAACCAAGGACAAGAACAGAGGAAUGCCCUGACCACAUCAAGAAGCGUAAGACUCUUGAAGCCUUUUCUUUUCCUUUCUUCUCUGUUCCUCAUGAGCAUUUGUGGUUGGCAGGAUAAUGGCCUUCUCAGAUGUCCUAAUCCCUGAAACCUGUGAAAAUGCUACUUUAUGUGGCAGGAGGGACUCUGCAGAUGGGAUGAAGUGAAAGAUCUUGAGAUGGGGAGAUCAUCAUGGAUCACUGAGUCCCUUAUGCUUGUCUUAAGAGCUGGCCUAUGACAGCUUAUUGGAGGAUGAGAGACCAGGUAACAGAACAAAGUCAUCCCUGCUGAGGUCAUCCUAGACCAGCUAUCCUCCAGCCAACCUGAGAGCUGACCACAGAAGUUUACCCAGAGUCAACAAAUAGAUGCCAUGACCCCAACCACCACCACCCCCGCCAGGAAUGAGCGCUCUGAGCCAGAGGUGUGUGAAGAGGUCAGAGGUGCUGAACUGGGCUUCUGAGAUGAUACUAAUCCCUAACCUUAUUCGCAUUUACCAUGUCCGGGAACCAUGCUGAAGGUCCCGCAUGUAUUCACUCCUUUGAGCUUCAGAAUAAUUGAAGAGGUAGAUAAUUUCAUUAUCCUUCUAUUACAGACGAGGAAAGUAAGAAGAAGAGAGGUUAAAUAACUUGUCUGAAAAGGUCUCAGCAGUCUGGAAAAUCUUUAAUAACCCCUGAAUAAAUCUAGAGUUUGCUGAAAGGACAAAGGUUGAGUGUGUGCAUC